CGGUGCUCUCCCCGUGCCCAGCGAUGCCCGCAGCAGCUCCAGGGAGCCCCGGGGCUCGCUCCGUGCCCAGCGAUGCCCGCAGCAGCUCCAGGGAGCCCCGGGGCUCUCCGCGGCCUUUCCCGGAGCCUCCCCGCCCUCAGGUCCGCGGGGCCGUGCGGACCGGGCUCCCUCAGCCCGCUGGGCGAGCCUGGCCUUUGUCAGCCUAGCCAACAGGGUUGGGUUCGGGUUUUUUUUUUCCCUUUCCCUGGCCUAGGAGACAGUGGGAGCAAUUCCGCCGGUUUGUUUGUUUUGUUUUUUUUUUUUUUUUCCCGAGCUGUUCGGUUCGGUUUUGGCCCACCAUCGCAGAGCCGGCGGGAGGAGCAUCGGCCGGGGACGGGAGGGGACGGCCCGGCCCGGCCCGGCCCGGCCUCAGAGCUCGGCACAGCCGAGCCAACCGGAGAAAGGACUCCAAAUCCAGCGGCUUCGUCUGCAGUGACGAGGGGGCCCGUCAGGAAAUCCACAGAAGCCCCAAGCCCCUCUGGAUGAGGCCGUUCCACGCUGGAUGUGCAGCACCUCCCACAACAGGAACAUCACCUGUAAAGGGAUUUACUGGAUGGCAGAGGGGUAAAUCAAACGUGAUUGUGAACUACUCCCCGCUGCUUCCAAAGGAAGAUUCCAGGGGAAUUCCUGAUCCUUAACCACAGCACUGGAUUUUGUUUCAUUCAUAAUCAUUUCCCUGACAGCGUUUAAAACCCCUACCAGUGCAUGGUAAGAGAGGAAGAAUUGUAUAAAUUAAUACAUGUUACACCCCUGGACACCGGUCAGACUUCUCCCACAGCUCCCAAAAUGUGCUUCCAACCGCUGCUUAAGAGAUUAAAGAGUAUCCCAGACUCUUC